rnacentral:rRNA from 1 species
ACGACGACGAUGCGUAGGGGUUCUGAGAGGAAGGCCCCCCCACACUGGUACUGAGACACGGACCAGACUCCUACGGGAGGCAGCAG